GAAGCUUAAAAAACAGUAUUCCAGUGAUAUCGUUUCAAGCCAACGUGAACCUAAUCUUGAGGCAAAAUCGCGAUACCAUUGGCAAUUGUAUGAAAAUCGCGAUAAUAGACGAGAAAAGACGGAAUCCAACGCGAUCGAGAACAUCGGAGGAUACCGGAACGCGUGGCGUCGAGUGCCCAGAGCACAGAAGCGAUCAGAGACGACGAAUUUGUGGCUUGGGUGAAUCACGAUUCUCGUGGAAAUUCUACUGUCUGUUCAUCGACCACAAACGAGCUGACAGUAUCGUCUAAAAUCAUAAUCCGCCGCGGUCAGAUCAUUUAUCGUCAACGUAACAGCGAGUUUCUCACUUAA
rnacentral:misc_RNA from 1 species